rnacentral:rRNA from 1 species
GAUGAACGCUGGCGGCGUGCCUAAUACAUGCAAGUCGAGCGAACGGACGAGAAGCUUGCUUCUCUGAUGUUAGCGGCGGACGGGUGAGUAACACGUGGAUAACCUACCUAUAAGACUGGGAUAACUUCGGGAAACCGGAGCUAAUACCGGAUAAUAUUUUGAACCGCAUGGUUCAAAAGUGAAAGACGGUCUUGCUGUCACUUAUAGAUGGAUCCGCGCUGCAUUAGCUAGUUGGUAAGGUAACGGCUUACCAAGGCAACGAUGCAUAGCCGACCUGAGAGGGUGAUCGGCCACACUGGAACUGAGACACGGUCCCGACUCCUACGGGAGGCAGCAGUAGGGAAUCUUCCGCGAUGGGCGAAAGCCUGACGGAGCAACGCCGCGUGAGUGAUGAAGGUCUUCGGAUCGUAAAACUCUGUUAUUAGGGAAGAACAUAUGUGUAAGUAACUGUGCACAUCUUGACGGUACCUAAUCAGAAAGCCCCGGCUAACUACGUG